rnacentral:lncRNA from 1 species
CCCUUUUUUUUAACAUGACGCUACGGUCGUGUGAAUAGACAGAUAACCGUUACGAAUUCGCCUUACUCGAGAGCUCAUCGCGUCGUUUUCAAAUUUUGAUGUCACUUACCCUGCUAACAAAUUCAUUAUCACUGAUCUCGGGUUAUUGGUUACCUGUUUGCUUUGGCAAAUCGAUUUCUUUGCCUACCAACAAAUGUAAAACCAUGCGUCUUGAAGGCUGCAAAUUCGUUCGCCUUUUUGUUUAUAUGACACGUAAUUACGGCAUGUUAAAAACCGGUUUUACAACGGUUCGGUAAGCAGCCUCCAUUGUGUUCAUGAGCGAGAGCACUACAACACAGUACAAACAACGAAAAUGGAUGAAAAAAGCUUUGGCUGUACACAAAUCGACCGGAAAUACAUCGUCUCACGCACACGGUCUUUUAUGGAAAUACUUUUUUCCUCCCCCUUUUUUUUUUUUUAUUAUACACAACGCAGUAUUUCUGUUGGGUUUGUUCUGGGUGGUUCAGUGAGGAAACCGGAACCCUCGUUUGUAUAUAUGUUAGCCUUUACAAGAGGCCGCGCCCUGAUUUCUUUCUUUUCCAUUUCCUCAGCAUGAAAUAUUCAUGUUUCUGGGUCUUAAAACAGAUGCGCUCUUUGAGCUGUCUUUUUGUAAACAAAUACCCGCCGACAACUUGUGAGACAUGAUUCAUAUUGAAGUGAUGCUAGACCACCCACUGCGAUUUAGCAUUUUGUUGCAAAUGGAAGGGAAAAAAACGAUUAAAGCCUCCAGCAUGCACACGAUGAUCCCAGAGAAAUCACAGUUGCAUGGCACUUGUAAAGAAAAAAAAGGAAACAGUAUGGUAAAUGACGUCAAUGUAACAUCGUAAUGAUAAAAAGAAAAAUAUUUUCGAGGCAUGUGGAAAUUCGAGAUCUAUCGACUCCCUUUGGGAUAUCAUUUAUUUCUAAAUUUGAAACAUCGAGGCAGUUCUACAUCAAAACGCCAUCAGCUAGUUAGUUGGUUCUCACCAUUAUUAUUUUUUUUUAUGUGACUAAGCAAAUGUGUGGGUGCAAAGUCUUUUAGGUUACUCACACUUCCGUAUUGCUCUAUCUGCUUAACGAAUGGCUUUCCACUAUUUUCUGAUCAAAGGCAAUUGGAAGAAUUUAAAAAACCUUCGCCGACAACGCUGAUCAGUAACGGACACGAUAAAUAGUCAAACCACUUGGUAAUGAAUUCCACAUUUUUUUGCGCAUUUGCAGUUCGCAAAUGAUGGAAAAAAAUUGCUGUUGAUGGCUUAAAAUAUCCAGAACACCCAGUAGCCUGCAAUGGAAUAGGUCACGUUGCUGUCUAGCUAGGCAUUUUCUACGUUACGGAAAUUCGAUUUUUGAAAUUGACACAAACAUAUAAAGAAGCGCAAGACUGCUGAGAAAAUAAAAUGUAAAACAGUCAUAUGCAGAUAAAAAAUAUGCGUCGUUAAACUGUAAAGUCAACGGUAGAAUUUAUAGCCUGCACCCAGGAAAUAUGGCAUAGUUAUUGAUUUGAAAUACGCAUCCUUUAUAUUCAGAAACUUUGAGCAUCCAUAAAGGUGUCAAAUGACCGAGAACGAAAGGGAAACUAAUAUGGUAGCUGCGAAAUGGAUUGCAAAUGUAUCGAUAUGCAAAAAACGGCAUACUUGUGCGCAUCGCCAACUAAUGUGAAGAAACACAUAAAAAGGUAUAAGAUCGUGAAUUAUUGUCAAGAUGCAAAUGUCGCGUACCCACGACGACGUACUGCCCCAAAUAGUAAAAAAAAAUUACACGGAUUCAGUGUUCAUCAUUUCUACUCGUGUUACAGGAAGUAUCAAGUCCACAAGUACAGAGAGAUAAACCGUUAUGCUCGUAAAAAAUUUGGCUGGACUUCUUUAUCUCACAACACGGAAAUGUCAUGUGUGACGCGCUGCCCUUUUAAUAGGCAAGCAUGAAAUUUGUAACAAAAGUUGAAUACGAAUAAUUAUUUUUGAUAUGGUCAUCUCAACUUGUAGAAAUGUGAAUAAAGAUUAAUUGAGCGUAACAAAUACUAUCCCACUAUUAAAUUGUAUUGCUGGAACAGCAUCAAUCAUUUUCUACACCAAAAGACAUAUUUCUGACUAUAAUGAGCUGCAGGUCUUUAUUCAAUGUUCGAUUAAAAAAUCAUUGAGAAAACAGCAAUUUAUAAAAGGCCUAUAUAUAUAGUCAUUCCCUCCACAGAAAAGACUUGAGACGAACGACGUGGUUUCCAAUUAGUACAGGUUGCAAAAUUGCAAUAUAAAUGCUAGAAUCGAUUUGACGAUAUCAGUACA